rnacentral:rRNA from 1 species
CCUACGGGAGGCAGCAGUCGAGAAUCAUUCACAAUGGGGGAAACCCUGAUGGUGCGACGCCGCGUGGGGGAAUGAAGGUCUUCGGAUUGUAAACCCCUGUAUUGUGGGAGCAAAUUAAAAAGAUAGUACAACAAGAGGAAGAGACGGCUAACUCUGUGCCAGCAGCCGCGGUAAUACAGAGGUCUCAAGCGUUGUUCGGAACCACUGGGCGUAAAGCGUGCGUAGUCUGUUUCGUAAUUAGUGUUUGAACGGCGCGGGCACAACCCGCAGACGGCACAUGAUACUGCGAGACUAGAGUAAUGGAGGGGUAACCGGAAUUCUCGGUGUAGCAGUGAAAUGCGUAGAUAUCGAAAGGAACACUCGUUGCGAAGGCGGGUUCCUGGACAUUAACUGACACUGAGGCACGAAGGCCAAGGGAGCGAAAGGGAUUAGAUACCCUUGUAGUC